CGGGGCGCGCGCCGGGCGGCACCGGGGGGACCCCAGGGCUCCCGGGCGGCGCGGGCACAGCCCCGGUGCCCCGGCCGGCGCUGACGGACACGCGGCUCUGCGAGCCCCCCCGGCACCCGCGGGCCACCAUGGACCCCCAGAGCGACGCAGAGGGGGGGUCCGGCCGUGAGCCCCCGCUGGAGCUGCUGCCCCGUGUCCCCCUGCACGCUGCCCUGCCCGCC